UGGGGAAUUUUGCGCAAUGGGGGGAACCCUGACGCAGCAACGCCGCGUGAGUGAUGAAGGCCCUUGGGCCGUAAAGCUCUGACAGAGGGAAAGAAAUGCAUGGUGGCUAAUAUCCAUUGUGCUUGACGGUACCCUCAAAGGAAGCACCGGCUAACUCCGUGCCAGCAGCCGCGGUAAUACGGGGGGUGCAAGCGUUGUUCGGAUUUAUUGGGCGUAAAGCGCGUGUAGGCGGUUUUUUAAGUCUGAUGUGAAAGCCCCGGGCUCAACCUGGGAAGUGCAUUGGAUACUGGAAGACUUGAAUACGGGAGAGGGCAGUGGAAUUCCUGGUGUAGGAGUGAAAUCCGUAGAUAUCAGGAGGAACACCGUUGGCGAAGGCGGCUGCCUGGACCGAUAUUGACGCUGAGACGCGAAAGCGUGGGUAGCAAACAG
rnacentral:rRNA from 1 species